GUUUCGCAAAUCCAGGGCGCUGCCGUCACGCAGAUUCUGCGCG
rnacentral:misc_RNA from 1 species